GAGAGUUCAGAGGGCGUGAACCGCUGAGAAGGAAACGGAUAGAGUUGACGAAACUCAGUGGCAUUCAUCCGGCCGAUCGGCUGUUGGCUGCUGUUCUGCGUUAGUUGGCUUCCUUUACGGGAGGUCGGCAACUUGGACGGCUCGGCCGGCAGUGAUUGCUGGUGCUUUUGCCAUUGGUAUGCGCUGAGAAGUUCGCUGUGGUGCGUUUAAGGCUGCUAAAGAGGACCGCUCCCGCAUGGGUGUGGAAACUUUUGGCGGUGUUGAGGCGUAUCCGCGGUGGAUGCUGAUUUCGCAGUGCAACGCUUGCUUGUAGCGCAACGGCUGUUGCGGACUGACGUGGCUGUUGGGCGGUCGCAUGCGACUUGCCUACAGUUUGCUGUUGGUCUGUUGGCGGUGCCUGGUUGCGUUGGCGUUUGCAUCUCGGUGUGAAAGUCGACCACCUAUCCGACCCGUCUUGAAACACGGACCAAGGAGUUUAGCAUAUGCGCAAGUCAUUGGGUGGUAAACCUAAAGGCGUAAUGAAAGUAAAGAUCGCUUAGAAUGCGGUUGAUAUGGGAUCCGUGUAGGCGCGGCAGCAAUGUCACACUCUGCACAGCGCACCAUAGCCCCGUUCUUGUUGCUUGCAAUAGGGCGGAGGUAGAGCGCAUACGCUGAGACCCGAAAGAUGGUGAACUAUGCCUGAGCAGGAUGAAGCCAGAGGAAACUCUGGUGGAAGUCCGAAGCGGUUCUGACGUGCAAAUCGAU
rnacentral:rRNA from 1 species